rnacentral:ncRNA from 1 species
UUGGCCAUAGUGGAGUACGUAAUGAAGCUGUUAUAUUCGGUAAAGCGAACGAUUAAAGAAAUUGCGGGACGAAACGUCUUCAACCUAUCCUCAAACUUCCAAUGAAUUUGACGUCUUGCUUGCUUGAGUGACAUGUUGACAUUGAAUGUGUGCUCCACGUGGGCCAUUUUUGAUAAGCAGAACUGGCGCUGUGAAUGAACCA